GAUGAACGCUAGCGGGAGGCUUAACACAUGCAAGUCGAGGGGCAGCACGAGGUAGCAAUACUUUGGUGGCGACCGGCGCACGGGUGAGUAACGCGUAUGUAACCUACCCUGUACAGGGGAAUAACCCGGAGAAAUUCGGACUAAUACCCCAUAAAGAUAUUUUGAGGCAUCUUAAGAUAUUUAAAGUUUCGGCGGUACGGGAUGGGCAUGCGUAACAUUAGCUAGUUGGUAGGGUAACGGCCUACCAAGGCUACGAUGUUUAGGGGUCCUGAGAGGGUGAUCCCCCACACUGGUACUGAGACACGGACCAGACUCCUACGGGAGGCAGCAGUGAGGAAUAUUGGUCAAUGGGCGCAAGCCUGAACCAGCCAUCCCGCGUGCAGGAAGACGGCCCUAUGGGUUGUAAACUGCUUUUCCAGGGGGUGAAA
rnacentral:rRNA from 1 species